rnacentral:miRNA from 1 species
CGAAUCAGGGAAGGACGAGGGCGUGGGGCCGUCGUGGACAUUUUGAGCCUCACCCACCUCCUGCUCUCCCCAG